UGAGGAAUAUUGGUCAAUGGGCGCAAGCCUGAACCAGCCAUGCCGCGUGCAGGAUGACUGCCCUAUGGGUUGUAAACUGCUUUUAUACAGGAAGAAACAGUCCCUCGUGAGGGGCCUUGACGGUACUGUAAGAAUAAGCACCGGCUAACUCCGUGCCAGCAGCCGCGGUAAUACGGAGGGUGCAAGCGUUAUCCGGAAUCAUUGGGUUUAAAGGGUCCGCAGGCGGUCAAUUAAGUCAGAGGUGAAAUCCUACAGCUUAACUGUAGAACUGCCUUUGAUACUGGUUGACUUGAGUUAUACGGAAGUAGGUAGAAUGUGUAGUGUAGCGGUGAAAUGCAUAGAUAUUACACAGAAUACCGAUUGCGAAGGCAGCCUACUACGUAUAUACUGACGCUCAUGGACGAAAGCGUGGGGAGCGAACAGG
rnacentral:rRNA from 1 species